rnacentral:rRNA from 1 species
GAUCCUGGCUCAGGACGAACGCUGGCGGCGUGCCUAACACAUGCAAGUCGAACGGGGCUAGGAAAGCUUGCUUUCCGAAGCCUAGUGGCGGACGGGUGAGUAACGCGUGAGUAACCUGCCUUUCAGAGGGGAAGUAACGUUCUGAAAAGAAACGCUAAUACCGCAUAACGUACAGUUACCGCAUGGUAGCAGUACCAAAGGAAGCAAUCCGCUGAGAGAUGGACUCGCGUCCGAUUAGCUAGUUGGUGGGGUAAAGGG